AAGGGGAGUGAAAUAGAACCUGAAACCGUGUGCCUACAACAAGUCAAAGCCCGUUAAUGGGUGAUGGCGUGCCUUUUGUAGAAUGAACCGGCGAGUUACGAUUGCAUGCGAGGUUAAGUUGAAGAGACGGAGCCGCAGCGAAAGCGAGUCUGAAUAGGGCGUUUGAGUAUGUAGUCGUAGACCCGAAACCAUGUGAUCUACCCAUGUCCAGGUUGAAGGUGCGGUAAAACGCACUGGAGGACCGAACCCACGUACGUUGAAAAGUGCGGGGAUGAGGUGUGGGUAGCGGAGAAAUUCCAAACGAACUUGGAGAUAGCUGGUUCUCUCCGAAAUAGCUUUAGGGCUAGCCUCGGAAUUGAGAAUGAUGGAGGUAGAGCACUGUUUGGACUAGGGGCCCAUCUCGGGUUACCGAAUUCAGAUAAACUCCGAAUGCCAUUCAUUCAUAUCCGGGAGUCAGACUGUGAGUGAUAAGAUCCAUAGUCGAAAGGGAAACAGCCCAGACCACCAGCUAAGGUCCCAAAAUAUAUGUUAAGUGGAAAAGGAUGUGGGGUUGCACAGACAACUAGGAUGUUGGCUUAGAAGCAGCCACCAUUUAAAGAGUGCGUAAUAGCUCACUA
rnacentral:rRNA from 1 species